rfam:Ovis aries breed Texel chromosome 13, whole genome shotgun sequence.
UCCCUGGUGGCUCAGACAGUAAAGAAUCUGCCUGCAAUGCAGGAGACCCGGGUUCGAUCCCUGGGUUGGGAA